rnacentral:rRNA from 1 species
UACGGGGGGGGCAAGCGUUGUUCGGAAUUACUGGGCGUAAAGGGCUCGUAGGCGGCCAACUAAGUCGGACGUGAAAUCCCUCGGCUCAACCGGGGAACUGCGUCCGAUACUGGAUGGCUUGAGUUCGGGAGAGGGAUGCGGAAUUCCAGGUGUAGCGGUGAAAUGCGUAGAUAUCUGGAGGAACACCGGUGGCGAAGGCGGCAUCCUGGACCGACACUGACGCUGAGGAGCGAAAGCGUGGGGAGCGAACAGG